UUUAAGGAAUUGGCGGGGGAGCACUGCAACCUGAGGAUUGUGCGGUUUAAUUGGAUUCAACGCCGGAAAACUCACCAUAGCCGACGGACAUAUGAAGGCCAGCGUAAUGAGCUUGCUGGAUUGUUCGAGAGGUAGUGCAUGGCCGUCGUCAGUUCGUACCGCAAGGCGUUCUGUUAAGUCAGAUAACGAACGAGACCCUCAUCCCUAUUUGCCAAGGUCUGUCCGCAGAUCACGGGACUAUAGGGAGACCGCUGGCGCGAAGUCAGAGGAAGGCGAGGGCAACGGUAGGUCAGUAUGCUCCGAAUGCUAUGGGCUACACGCGCAAUACAAAGGACGGGACAAUGGGCUGCAACUCCGAGAGGAAUGACGCUAUCCCGAAACCCGUUCGUAGUUCGGAUUGAGGGCUGUAACUCGCCCUCAUGAAGCUGGAUUAGGUAGUAAUCGCGUCUCAAAAAGGCGCGGUGAAUAUGCCCCUGCUCCUUGCACACACCGCCA
rnacentral:rRNA from 1 species